AUGAACGCUGGCGGCGUGCCUAAUACAUGCAAGUCGAGCGAACAGACGAGGAGCUUGCUCCUCUGACGUUAGCGGCGGACGGGUGAGUAACACGUGGAUAACCUACCUAUAAGACUGGGAUAACUUCGGGAAACCGGAGCUAAUACCGGAUAAUAUAUUGAACCGCAUGGUUCAAUAGUGAAAGACGGUUUUGCUGUCACUUAUAGAUGGAUCCGCGCCGCAUUAGCUAGUUGGUAAGGUAACGGCUUACCAAGGCAACGAUGCGUAGCCGACCUGAGAGGGUGAUCGGCCACACUGGAACUGAGACACGGUCCAGACUCCUACGGGAGGCAGCAGUAGGGAAUCUUCCGCAAUGGGCGAAAGCUUGACGGAGCAACGCCGCGUGAGUGAUGAAGGUCUUCGGAUCGUAAAACUCUGUUAUUAGGGAAGAACAAAUGUGUAAGUAACUAUGCACGUCUUGACGGUACCUAAUCAGAAAGCCGCGGCUAACUACGUG
rnacentral:rRNA from 1 species